AUGUGGUUUAAUUCGAAGCAACGCGCAGAACCUUACCAGCGUUUGACAUCCCGCGCUAUCACCAGAGAUGGUGAGUUCCCUUCGGGGACGCGGUGACAGGUGCUGCAUGGCUGUCGUCAGCUCGUGUCGUGAGAUGUUGGGUUAAGUCCCGCAACGAGCGCAACCCUCGUCCUUAGUUGCCAUCAUUAAGUUGGGCACUCUAAGGAAACCGCCGGUGAUAAGCCGGAGGAAGGUGGGGAUGACGUCAAGUCCUCAUGGCCCUUACACGCUGGGCUACACACGUGCUACAAUGGCGGUGACAGUGGGCAGCGACCUCGCGAGGGGUAGCUAAUCUCCAAAAGCCGUCUCAGUUCGGAUUGUUCUCUGCAACUCGAGAGCAUGAAGGCGGAAUCGCUAGUAAUCGCGGAUCAGCAUGCCGCGGUGAAUACGUUCCCAGGCCUUGUACACACCGCCCGUCACACCAUGGGAGUUGGAUUCACUCGAAGGCGUUGAGCUAACCCGUAAGGGAGGCAGGCGACCACAGUGGGUUUAGCGACUGGGGUGAAGUCGUAACAAGGUAGCCGU
rnacentral:rRNA from 1 species